GAAGGCUUUUGUUACGAGGGCUGGAGGUUCCAAAACAUCCAUGAAGCUGGGGGCUAAAGGAAACGACUGAGACUUAAGGCGCCCAGGUGCACUGGGACUUCAAGCACAUAAAGGCCUGUAAUAAUUUAUUCUGUGUACAAUUCACAAAACACCUUUUGUAUUUUGCCUGAUGAAAACUUCAAAGACAGCACAGCAAUCGCUUCACAUCUUCAAGGUGAAAAUGAAUGUUCUCUGCCUCAUUGGGUCCAAGGAGAGAUUUCACAGAGUGCCGUGUGGAAAAAUAAAUUGGUCUCAAUGAGGCCUAACUUUAUAGUGCAUUAAUGUUUAAUUUGAAGUCUGCUGUCUCAUACACACACACACACACACACACACACUCUCUCUCGCUCUCUCUCCUUGCCCUGAUUUUACCCUAGUUGUCUUUGUUACUUGGUACCUCACAUGAUGAAAGACAGUGCAGAGGACACCAGAGACCUGGUGAAUGGACAUAAUGUGCCCUCUUUAUCACAGGUCAAAGGAAAAGAUGUAUGGAAAGAGCUCAGCAAUCACAAAGGUAUUUGUUGGGAGAGUGACGGCAGUGGUGAUGGCAUUAGUUACCAGGCAGACACUUCUCAUGGAAGAGAGAGAGAGUGAGAGGGUGAGAGAGAGAGAGAGCGCUCACCAAGGACACUUCAUUUGCACACUGUCCCACUUACGACACGCGAAGGAGUAGUGUUGAGGGGAGGGGACGCCUUCUUGGUUACUCAAGUCAGUUGCACGCUGUUUGGGCCUUCCUGGUUCCCUUUACUCAAUGGUUUCCCUGACGGUGAAAUUGGCUACACAGACGAGUGGCGGCUCAAAGAUACUGUAUUUGCCAUUUAAGCACGCAGACUCAAUAUGGCCCUCAGAGGCUGUGAUGUCUAGUUUUCUGUGGUCCUUCUCUGUCUUGUUUUUUCAUGUCAUUUUUCAUUUGGAGAGACUUCAGGAAAUGUGCAGCAGAUGCUUAUACAUGAAAUAAAAUUGUUGGCAUGCGAA